rnacentral:rRNA from 1 species
UACGUAGGGGGCUAGCGUUGUCCGGAAUUAUUGGGCGUAAAGAGCUUGUAGGCGGUUUGUCGCGUCUGCUGUGAAAUCUCAAGGCUCAACCUUGAGCUUGCAGUGGGUACGGGCAGACUAGAGUGUGGUAGGGGAGACUGGAAUUCCUGGUGUAGCGGUGAAAUGCGCAGAUAUCAGGAAGAACACCGAUGGCGGAAGGCGGUCUGCU